CAUUGAGGGCAGAGCGCGCUCGUUACGAGCCGGGUACGAGCUUGCAAAGUGCACGCGCAUUUUCUGCAAGCUGGUUGGUGCGGAGCUGGACGAGGCAAAUUAAUUGGAAGGUGCUGCUGACUGCAACAAAACAAAAUGCCUCGUAAGGAGAGGAGGAAGAAACGGCUACAAAAGGAGCUGUGUGAGGCUGCUAAAGGCAGUGGAUCCCUCACCAGCUGGAUUAAAAAGAGCACAGUCUCAAAACAACACAGCCCUGCCCUCCAGCACUAUCAGCAGCAGGAACAGCAGUAAUCCCUCAACAGCAACAUUGUACGCCAUCAGGAGCUGCCCUCAGAUUCAGACCUCAGCACCACCCAGUGACAGCAGACAGAUCAUCC